GACUAGUGACAGAGAGAGAGAGGGGGUGACUAGUGACAGGGUGAGGGAGGUUGUGAUUAGUGACAGAGGGAGGGAUGAGGUGACUAGUGACAGUCACCACCUCCUUCACUCUGUCACUAGUCUCCCCCUCCCUCCCUCUGUCAUUGUGUCA